GCCCUCGGGAGGAGGAAGUCAUGGUGCCUGGGACCCUGUCUCUGAGCAUCCGCACAGUUUGUGUGGUGGCAGGCCUGUCCCCUUCACACAGACCAGGCUUAGGGAGGGCAGGCACUGGGGUCCUCGCUCAAACCCAGCCCGAACUCCGAAGCUCAUUUCUGCUCUUCCAACCCUCCUUUGGCAUCUCUGGAUAGGACUAGGCCACAGAAUUCUCUCUGGGGAUGCUGAGCUGGGAUGUCGGCCCCACCAGCAAGAGUGGGAAACACCAACACUCCCAGUGGGCUAUGCUGCUCGACUAUUAGUGGUCUCAGGGUGAACUCAAACUCAAGGUGAUCCUCCUACCUCUGCCUCCUAAGUGC